CUCGGCCUCUCAUAAGGUGGAACUAUAGUAUCCACCCUAGCCUACUGGCACAGAUAAGUAAUCAGGGAUGGAUGUCCUAGCGAUGUCCUGCUACUAACAGUAGUAGCGCAGACCUGAAUCUCGUUGGCGAUGAUCUCACCAACGUUAACAUCCAUCUGCCUCUACAUGCAGUAUAUGAAGAGAAUCUGAUGCAUGGUAAUGUCGGAGACAUGGGAGCACGGCUGUAUGUUGGCAUGAGUGAAUGCCACCUUGUACUUUACCAGG
rnacentral:lncRNA from 1 species